GAUGAACGCUGGCGGCGUGCCUAAUACAUGCAAGUCGAGCGAACAGACGAGGAGCUUGCUCCUUUGACGUUAGCGGCGGACGGGUGAGUAACACGUGGGUAACCUACCUAUAAGACUGGGAUAACUUCGGGAAACCGGAGCUAAUACCGGAUAAUAUUUCGAACCGCAUGGUUCGAUAGUGAAAGAUGGCUUUGCUAUCACUUAUAGAUGGACCUGCGCCGUAUUAGCUAGUUGGUAAGGUAACGGCUUACCAAGGCAACGAUACGUAGCCGACCUGAGAGGGGGAUCGGCCACACUGGAACUGAGACACGGUCCAAACUCCUACGGGAGGCAGUAGUAGGGAAUCUUCCGCAAUGGGCGAAAGCCUGACGGAGCAACGCCGCGUGAGUGAUGAAGGUCUUCGGAUCGUAAAACUCUGUUAUUAGGGAAGAACAAACGUGUAAGUAACUGUGCACGUCUUGACGGUACCUAAUCAGAAAGCCACGGCUAACUACGUG
rnacentral:rRNA from 1 species